rnacentral:rRNA from 1 species
GUGCACAAGGGAGCUUGACUGUGAGACCGACGGGUCGAGCAGGGACGAAAGUCGGGACUAGUGAUCCGGCGGUGGCUUGUGGAAGCGCCGUCGCUCAACGGAUAAAAGGUACCCCGGGGAUAGCUGCUCUGCCUCGGCGU